AUUGAACGCUGGCGGCAGGCUUAACACAUGCAAGUCGAACGAGUGGCGGACGGGUGAGUAAUGCUUGGGAAUCCAGCUUAUGGAGGGGGAUAACUACGGGAAACUGUAGCUAAUACCGCGUACCUUAGGAUGAGCCCAGGUGGGAUUAGGUAGUUGGUGUGGUAAAGGCUCACCAAGCCGACGAUCAACAUCUGGUCUGUGAGGAUGAACAGCCACCCUGGGACUGGGACACGGCCCAGACUCCAACGGGAGGCAGCCGAGAGGAAUAUUACGCAAUGGGGGCGACCUAGCGCGGCCAUGCCGCGUGAAUGAGGAGGGCCUUCGGGUUGUAAAGUUCUUUCGGUAGCGAAGCGUUAACUACAGAAGAAGCACCGGCUAACUCCGUGCCAGCCGCCGCGGUAAUAC
rnacentral:rRNA from 1 species